GACGAACGCUGGCGGCGUGCUUAACACAUGCAAGUCGAGCGGUAAGGCCCUUUCGGGGGUACACGAGCGGCGAACGGGUGAGUAACACGUGGGUGACCUGCCCUCAGCUCUGGGAUAAGACCCGGGAAACUGGGUCUAAUACCGGAUAUGACUUCAUGACGCAUGUUGUGGAGUGGAAAGCCUUGUGCGGCUGAGGAUGGGCCCGCGGCCUAUCAGCUUGUUGGUGGGGUGAGGCCUACCAAGGCGACGACGGGUAGCCGGCCUGAGAGGGCGACCGGCCACACUGGGACUGAGAUACGG
rnacentral:rRNA from 1 species